GGCCAAGGAAAAGGGAGGAUAAAUAUGGAUAAGAAGCUACAAACCAGAAGAAAUAGAGGAGCAAUGGGGAACAAGUGUAAACACAGUCACAUAACACCCAAAACCCUCUAAUUCAAUCCUCUUCUUGACUCCAUUAUUCACAAUAUUUUUAUUUUUUUUUCAUUUUUCUCUAUUUUUUCUAUUUUUUUUUCAUGUUGUCUAUUUU
rnacentral:lncRNA from 1 species